GCAGUAGGGAAUCUUCCGCAAUGGACGAAAGUCUGACGGAGCAACGCCGCGUGAGUGAUGAAGGCUUUCGGGUCGUAAAACUCUGUUGUUAGGGAAGAACAAGUGCUAGUUGAAUAAGCUGGCACCUUGACGGUACCUAACCAGAAAGCCACGGCUAACUACGUGCCAGCAGCC
rnacentral:rRNA from 1 species